rnacentral:piRNA from 1 species
UCCCCUAUGCACUCAUGUCCAUCAGCAUGAC